GAAAAUUAUAAUAAAAAAAUCCAAAAUCAAAUCUGGAAUCAAAUUUUAUUUCAGCUCGUGAACUGGCCUCAUAUAAAUUACAACUUUCAAAAAUAUUUUUGUUAACCCUAAAUAUAUCAUGAUAUUAGAAAUGGAAACAUUUCAUCUGGGCCAUUUUAAAAUUUUUGUUGAAUUGGAUAACGAUUAUAUAAAUUUCAUUGUGUUUUAUAGAAGCUUCAUUACUUUAAUUAUUACAAUCAAGACUUAUUUCCAUAAUUAUGUGCCUUUUAUACAUCGAAAAUGUUCAUUUGAAAGAAGUUGUCAUCAUCAUUGAGACAUUUAAGGAAAUUUGAUUUAUUAAAUUAUAGUUUAUACACGACACAAUGUAUCUUCUAUCUAAGAGUUAAGAAGCCUCCGUCAAUCUAUUUUUAUACGACCGUCGUCGUCGCCGUCCGAAGACACAUUGGUUUUCGCACUAUAACUUUAGUUUAAGUGAAUGGAUCUCUAUGAAAUUUUACCAUAAGGUUAAAUACCACAAAAGGAAGGUUGGGAUUGAUUUUGGGGGUUAUGGUACCAACAGUUAAGGAAUUAGGGGCCAAAAAGAGGCCAAAAAUAAGCAUUUUUGUAACUUCCAGACAUAACUUGUGUGUUAGAGUAUGGAUCUCUCUGACAUUGUACCACAAGGUUCCAUAUCACAAAGGGAAGGCUGGGAUUGAUUUUGGGGGUAAUUGCCUCAAAUUUUAGUAAUUAGGGGCAAAAAAAGGGGCAAAAAACAAGCAUUUUUCUAGUUUCAUGACAAUAACUUGUGUGUAAGUGUAUGGAUCUCUCUGAAAUUGUACUACAAGGUUCCAUAUCACAAAGGGAAAGCUGGAAUUGAGUUUGGGGGUAAUUGCCCUAAACGUUUAGGAAUAAGGGGCCAAAAAGGGGCCAAAAAUAAGCAUUUUUCUAGUUUCCAGACAAUUACUUGUGUUCAAGUGUAUGGAUCUCUCUGAAAUUGUACUGCAAGGUACCAUACCACAAACGGAAGGCUGGGAUUGAUGUUGGGGGUAAUUGCCUCAAUAUUUUUGGAAUUAGGGCCCAAAAAGGGGCAAAAACAAGCAUUUUUCUAGUUUCAAGACAAUAACUUGUGUGUAAGUGUAUGGAUCUUUCUGAAAUUGUACUACAAGGUUCCAUAUCACAUAGGGAAAGCUGGGUUUGAGUUUGGCGGUAAUUGCCCUAAACGUUUAGGAAUUUGGGACCAAAAAGGAGCCUAAAAACAAGCAUUUUUCUAGUUUCCAGACAAUAACUUGUGUUCAAGUGUAUGGAUCUCUCUGAAAUUGUACUGCAAGGUACCAUACCACCAUGGGAAGGCUGGGAUGAUUUUGGGGGUAAUUGCCUCAAUAUUUUAGGAAUUUGGGGCCAAAAAGGGACAAAAACAAGCAUUUUUCUAGUUUCAGGACAAUAACUUGUGUGUAAGUGUAUGGAUCUCUCUGAAAUUGUACUGCAAGGUUCCAUAUCACAAAGGGAAAGCUGGAAUUGAGUUUGGGGGUCAUUUCCCAAAACGUUUAGGAAUUUGGGGCCAAAAAGGGGCCAAAAAUAAGCAUUUUGUUAGUUUCCAGACAAUAACUUGUGUUCAAGUGUAUGGAUCUCUCUGAAAUUGUACUGCAAGGUACCAUACCACAAAGGGAAAGCUGGGAUUGAUUUUGGGGGUGAUGAAUCAUAAGAGGGUUCAAAAAAUUUGGGGGAGGUUUUUUUUUUCCCUUUUUUUCCUUUUUUUUUCUUUAAAAUUUUCCAUUUUAAAUUGGUUAUUUCUGAUUUAUAUAUAAAAGCAAAUAAUAAUGAUAUGGUUUCAAUAGGUAAAUUCAAAAUUUUUAAGUUCUUAAACCACAUUCAUUCUGUGUCAGAAACCUAUGCUGUGUCAAAUAUUUAAUCACAAUUCAAAUUCAGUGCUGUAUCAAGCUUGAAUGUUGUGUCCAUACUUGCCCCAACUGUUCAGGGUUCGACCUCUGCGGUCGUAUCAAGCUGCGCCCAGCGGAGCAUUUUAUUCUAGUUUCCAGACAGUAACUUGUGAUUAAGUGUAUGGAUCUCUCUGAAAUUGUACUACAAGGUUCCAUACUACAAAGGAAAGACUGUAAUUGAGUUUGAUGGUAAAUGCUAAAAGGGGAAUUUAAAAAGUUUGGGGGGAAAGGGGGGGGUUUCC